AUUGAACGCUAGCGGGAUGCUUUACACAUGCAAGUCGAACGGCAGCGCGGACUUCGGUCUGGCGGCGAGUGGCGAACGGGUGAGUAAUGUAUCGGAACGUGCCCAGUAGCGGGGGAUAACUACGCGAAAGCGUAGCUAAUACCGCAUACGCCCUACGGGGGAAAGCAGGGGAUCGUAAGACCUUGCACUAUUGGAGCGGCCGAUAUCGGAUUAGCUAGUUGGUGAGGUAACGGCUCACCAAGGCGACGAUCCGUAGCUGGUUUGAGAGGACGACCAGCCACACUGGGACUGAGACACGGCCCAGACUCCUACGGGAGGCAGCAGUGGGGAAUUUUGGACAAUGGGGGCAACCCUGAUCCAGCCAUCCCGCGUGUGCGAUGAAGGCCUUCGGGUUGUAAAGCACUUUUGGCAGGAAAGAAACGUCGCGGGCUAAUACCCCGUGGAACUGACGGUACCUGCAGAAUAAGCACCGGCUAACUACGUA
rnacentral:rRNA from 1 species